ensembl:lncRNA
AGUCAAAGGCUUUGGCAUAGUCAAUAAAGCAGAAAUCGAUGUUUUUCUGAAACUCUCUUGCUUUUUCAAUGAUCCAACAGAUGCUGGCGAUUUGAUCUCUGGUUCCUCUGCCUUUUCCAAAACCAGCUUGAACAUCUGGAAGUUCACAUAUUAUUGAAGCCUGGCUUGGAGAAUUUUGAGAAUGUAGCUUUAUUUGGGUGGCGUCUGUUUUUAAGAAUAAUCACCCUUGGAGGAAAAAGUGUUCUGACCACUGUCACAAGGAGAGGGUCGUAAAUUGUCAGCAGGCCCCCAUGGCCAGAAGAUGAUGUAACACCCCUAAGACCUCUGUAUACAUUUGUAUGAAGCACCUGACUUUGAUAAAAGUCAGGACUGCUGACCCCGCGUGACUUUUGCAUAACAUCUCAGUGUAUAAAAGUAGACCAUGGAAAAUAAAGAAUUGGGAUCAGUUCCUCGAAAGACUGGUCUCCCCAUGUCUCUCUCUCUCUCUCACUCUGGCUGAGUCUCCAUCUGGAACGCGGAACUCACCAUGCUUACUAAUUAUGCCUGGGCUUCUAAGAUCCGACCGGGGAGGCCUCAGUGUCUCCUCUCCUUCGGGAGAACGGAAGGACGCCUGUGGCCUACGUAAGUGGUGCAAACUUCUUGUCUUGAAGUUUUAUUGGUCUCCCGCGUAAACCAAGCCACUCAGCCUCUUUUCUCCACUGAAUUUUCCUACUGAGCUAUCCUUAUUCUAUUACUCUUUAUAUCUUUAAUUAAUAUCUAAUUGAAGCUAUUGUAUCCUGACCCUCGCCGACGCCGUCCCCGCUUCGAAUACCCUGGAUCAGCCGGAGCUGGACCCUGGCAACAAAGGAAGCCAAGAUUUUGGACUUGACACAUCCAGGUGGUGCUAGAUCAGACUGAUUGGAAACUGGCUGGGUGCCUCCAGCUCAGUGUCUGCUGCUUCUGCAAUGGCAGAGCCUAGACGUUCUCUGAACAGCUCCCUUCAAGAAUCCUAAAUGGAAAGAGAGAUAGUGCCCCACCCCAAGUUACCUGAGAGAGAGAGUGCAUGUGUGUAUAUACGUGUGUGUGUCUGUGUGUGCGUGCAUGUUAUGUGUGUGUAUGUGUAGGGGCAAGGAGGAUUCUCUGGGACUGGAGUUGACCCUGCCUUCCCCUCCCCUUGGGCUAAAGCUUCAAGAGCUGAGGAGGCAGAACUGCAGAGAGAGGGCUGCUGAGGGCUGAAGGGAAUCACGCCUAUAAGCGGGCCCUGCCAGGACCUAACAUUUUCCCUUCUCCAGCCACAGUAAAAAUAAAUGCUCCUGCCAUUAAUAGGACUAGACCUUGCCUGCCAAUGAACACAUCUGCAGAGGAGCCACCUGGAGGGACAAAUACACAAGGACUUGUCAGCUAUCCACCUGCCAGACUACUUCUCUUAAAGGCCCUGUGGGAAGCCCUCACAUACCACCCAGAAGAGAACCUGCUGAGUUCUGUGUGGCAGAAAGCAGGCAGGAAAGAAUUUGAGAGCAAGCCAUAGUAAAGUGAAAGAUUUAUUCAUGGAGAUGCACACUUCAUAAAGUGUGGGCCAUCUUAGAAGACCAGGUUGCAAAUAUACACUGACUUCCUUCAGUAGAAGUUGUGAAAUUGCUGGAAAAUGGCUGAGGAUCUUUGACCUGUCUCUUCAAAGGACCAGUUCCCAAGUCUCUCCUUUCAACACUCCCUGCUCGCUGCUAUUUAAGCUACCACCUGGAAGCAUAUUCAGCAUGUGGGACCAGCCCUAAAACUUGCUGGAGUUCUUGUUUCUUCCUUGGUCUGUACAAGGCCACCAUUCAGUAACCUUGAGAACCAUUAAACCCAUCACAAGACCACCUGAUGCCAGAUGAUUGAAGGAAUGAAGGCCCUGCAUGCACCCUGAUCCUUAUCAGCACCUCUGCCUCUUGACUACAAGACUCCUCACAAUCCACUUAUUCCACCCCCGGUUGGGACAUACAGUUUUGAGGGCAUUAGCCUGCUGCAGCCCCCUUUGCCUGGCAAAGCAAUAAAACUAUUCGUUUCUAUGUCAUCCAAAACUGUGUCUUUGAGAUUCAAUUUGGUGCUGGUUGCACAGAGGCUAGGUUU